CACGUAGGAGGCAAACGUUAUCCGGAUUUACUGGGCGUAAAGCGCGUGUAGGUGGUUCUGUAAGUAGGGCGUGAAAGCUCCCGGCUCAACUGGGAGAGGCCGUUCUAAACUGCAGAGCUAGAGGAUGGUAGAGGGAGGUGGAAUUCCAGGUGUAGCGGUGGAAUGCGCAGAUAUCUGGAGGAACACCAGUGGCGAAGGCGGCCUCCUGGACCAUUCCUGACACUCAGACGCGAAAGCUAGGGCAGCAAACGGGAUUAGAUACUCGGGUA
rnacentral:rRNA from 1 species